UUUUGGCAAACGCUGCAUUCAUAGUAAUGUAGAGGAAAGUCCAUACUUGCAUAGUCUGUGAUGACUAUAGUGAUUGUGCUUGGGGAAAAAAUAACCCAAGGUAGCUUAUUAGCUAACGGCGUGAAUAGCCUAAGUCAUUUGAUAUGGUGAUUUCACUUAAAGUGCCGCAGUGACGAUGCUUUCAGAAAUGAAAGAGUGAAACGUGGUAAACCCCGCAAGCAAGAAACCCAAAUUUUGGUAGGGGAACCUAAUAAGAGAGAAAUAAGAAUUUCUUAUGGGACCGGAAACGGUAGAUAAAUGUUUGCCCCUUUUUAUAAGGAACAGAAUAUGGCUUAUAA
rnacentral:RNase_P_RNA from 1 species